rnacentral:rRNA from 1 species
AGUGAACGCUGGCGGUAGGCCUAACACUUGCAAGUCGAACGGCAGCACAGGAGAGCUUGCUCUCUGGGUGGCGAGUGGCGGACGGGUGAGGAAUACAUCGGAAUCUACUCUGUCGUGGGGGAUAACGUAGGGAAACUUACGCUAAUACCGCAUACGACCUACGGGUGAAAGCAGGGGACCUUCGGGCCUUGCGCGAUUGAAUGAGCCGAUGUCGGAUUAGCUAGUUGGCGGGGUAAAGGCCCACCAAGGCGACGAUCCGUAGCUGGUCUGAGAGAAUGAUCAGCCACACUGGAACUGAGACACGGUCCAGACUCCUACGGGCGGCAGCAGUGGGGAAUAUUGGACAAUGGGCGCAAGCCUGAUCCAGCCAUACCGCGUGGGUGAAGAAGGCCUUCGGGUUGUAAAGCCCUUUUGUUGGGAAAGAAAUCCAGCUGGCUAAUACCCGGUUGGGAUGACGGUACCCAAAGAAUAAGCACCGGCUAACUUCGUGCCAGCCGCCGCAGUAA